AAAGCGCUCUCUAAGUCCAUGUAUAUUUCCAGUUUAUAAGGCGCUUUUGGAAAGCCUUAGAGAGUGCUUUUAGAAGCGCCCUCUUAGGCCCCCUUUAGAGGGCGCUUUUUUUACACAAGCGCCCUCUAAGGUCCCCUUUAGUAAACAUUAAAAUUAUAACAUAUAUUGCAUGUCUCUUUAUUUUCCCUCGCUAUAUGCUAUUU
rnacentral:lncRNA from 1 species